UUGCUAUAAACCAAAGUAUUUACUAAGAAAAAUCUUAUAAAUAAACAAGGUGAACGGAAAAAUCUAAAUAACCUUAGGAAAAAAAAUCAAACGAGAUUCUACAUAUAAUGAGAAGUAAGGUAGAAAAGCCUGUAAUAAGUAAAAUGGAAUAUCUGUUUGAAUAUAGGGGAACCUUCCUCUAAGGCUAAAUAUGGUCUUAUACGCAAUAGUGAAUAGUACCGUGAGGGAAU
rnacentral:ncRNA from 1 species